GUGUCAUGCAAGAAGGAGGCGGCGGCGGCGGCGGCGGCCGGAGCUGGAGGGGGAGGAGGGGAGGAACCUGAUCCUCGGUAGCGAAGGGCUGGAGGCAAACACCGAGCUCCCCCUGAGUCGCCUGGGAGCAGGGAGGGUUCUGCUACCCUGAGGGGCCCUCCCCGCGGGGCAGAGGGGUUUCUUCAGCAGUGCCCCGGAGCAGGGACUGCGCCAGCCAGCAGAAACAGCUAGUUGUUGUCUGCAGUGAAGAAUAAUUGGAAGCAUGGUGCCUGUUUCUUUUCCUAGGAGCCAAGAAUAGGACAGCUUGGGAAGCUCAUCUUCGUCUACGGCCAAACGUUGGUUUCUCAUUUCUAGAAGAUGAAAGAUGUGAUGACUCAGGAAAAACUGGAAUCUUAGUAACUGUGGUGGGCAUUGAGCCUUGCCAUCCACAAGAGAAAGCUUGCUGCUCGAGAUGUG
rnacentral:lncRNA from 1 species